UAAAUCUUGUAGUUGAGACUUAU
rnacentral:siRNA from 1 species